rnacentral:rRNA from 1 species
AUUGAACGCUGGCGGUAUGCCUUACACAUGCAAGUCGAACGGUAACAGGUCUUCGGAUGCUGACGAGUGGCGAACGGGUGAGUAAUACAUCGGAACGUGCCCAGUAAUGGGGGAUAGCUCGGCGAAAGCCGGAUUAAUACCGCAUACGCCCUGAGGGGGAAAGUGGGGGAUCGCAAGACCUCACGUUAUUGGAGCGGCCGAUGGCUGAUUAGCUAGUUGGUAGGGUAAAGGCCUACCAAGGCGACGAUCAGUAGCUGGUCUGAGAGGACGAUCAGCCACACUGGGACUGAGACACGGCCCAGACUCCUACGGGAGGCAGCAGUGGGGAAUUUUGGACAAUGGGGGAAACCCUGAUCCAGCAAUGCCGCGUGUGCGAAGAAGGCCUUCGGGUUGUAAAGCACUUUUGUCAGGGAAGAAAUCCUUUGGGCUAAUACCCUAGGGGGAUGACGGUACCUGAAGAAUAAGCACCGGCUAACUACGUGCCAGCAGCCGCGGUAAUACGUAGGGUGCAAGCGUUAAUCGGAAUUACUGGGCGUAAAGCGUGCGCAGGCGGUUGUGUAAGACAGGUGUGAAAUCCCCGGGCUUAACCUGGGAAUUGCAUUUGUGACUGCACGACUAGAGUGUGUCAGAGGGGGGUGGAAUUCCACGUGUAGCAGUGAAAUGCGUAGAUAUGUGGAGGAACACCAAUGGCGAAGGCAGCCCCCUGGGAUAACACUGACGCUCAUGCACG